AUGGCCUGCUACCCAUGCAAUCCCCUCCCCCACCUCCCGCCCGGCACCACCAUCAUUCCCCCUGGCCCCCUUCAUGCUCGUCACGGCUACGUGGUACUCGGCGGUGAACUUCCUAUGGUUUGUGAUGAGUGGGCUGUUACCACCCUCAUCCCUGAGAUUUCUGCAGAGGAUUUCGGCGCCAUUGCUCUCAUCACCAACUUCCUUGAAGGCCGGGGCUAGCGCAUCAACUACACAUCUCGCUGCGGUAUGGGUACGACUCUGUUUCAGUUUACUACUGCAUGCUCUAGAGACACAACUGUUGGCAGUAGUCCGUUUCAGAUUGGUAAUUCAGUUUUGAGGAUCAGUAGACAGGAUAGAGGUUUGAAUUAUCGUAGCAUCACAUUCACGCACGAUGCCUGGAUCAUGCUGAUGAACUACCCUCUGGAAUGUUGGGAUGUAGAUGUGAUUAGCCGCACUGUCUCCCCCUAUGGCAGAUUUCUGAUUUGGAACAAAGAUCCUAGGGAUAAAACCAGAGUUGUUAUCAAACUUAGAACUAUGAAUGUUGAUGCUAUUCCGAUCAGUAUUGUUGUGUUAAGGAAUAUUGAUGGUGUUGGAUAUGGUGAUUCCUGGACUUGCCCUACAUACAUUUUGUCGCGUGAACUUAUUGGGCAGCAGGGAGGGGAUGAGGACCCGCUCCCUCCUGAUGGUGGUAAUCCCCAUCCUCUGCCUCAUGUCCAUGGUGGAUUCUGG
rnacentral:rRNA from 1 species